GUGAAGCCGGGAGCAGCUCUCACCGGGGCUGUGGGUGCGGUGGGCGGGCUGGGUGCGCACCCCACCUUCUCGCCUCUUGGGGACAGUGCUGCGGCGGAUUCCACGCGGUCUCGAGUGUCCUCAGCGAGACUGAGCCCCUGUGGCCCUCUGGACACCUGCUCAGGCACGAGCCCCGUACUCCCGUUGUACCCAAAUGCUCGCCUCAGGAGAGGCAGCACCCAGCCCAGCCAAGCCCUGCCCCUCUCCUCUCCCGCCUCGCCUCGAACAGUCCCUUCCUCCUCCCGGUGCCUCCUCGCCUGCACAGGCUCCCACCACAGAUCCCGACCGGCCUCCGGGUGCCUCCGGGUUUCCCCUCCCUACCCAACCCCCGCCUUCAACUGCAGCCCCGCGGUGCGCGGCGAGGACGUUUCCACCAGCGACAGCCUGGCCUCCAAGGGUGCACCUGGUACCGCGCGGGUGUCCCGCGGCACACCCUCUGGGGGUGCGAGGGCUCUCGGUGGCCUCCACAGAGGACGUGAAGGGCCCGUUUCCCGGAACGGCCGUGCCGCUCAGCCGCUCAGCCGCGCGCGGGACUGGGAGCCGCUUCAUUGACUCGUCUGCCCGGAGGAUCCCGCUGCUUCCUCACGUUCACCCCGACUGUAGCAUGUGCUGGGACCUCACCCCUGUCUGUGGCUGAACAUUAUCCCAACCCAAGGAUGUCCCACAUCUCCCUGGUCGCCUCAACAGAUGAAGGACAUCUGGGUUGUCUCUACCCGUGGCUAUUCUGACUAAUGCUGCUAACACCGUGUGUAUAGAAAUGUCUGUGUGGACAGGCACUUUCACUUCUCCUGGGUCCAUAACUGGGAGUGGAGUUGCGAGCUCACAUGGAAACUCCGCGCUUCCUUUUCUGAGCAGCUGCCGCACAGUUUCCCACUGCACCUGUGCCACCACACCACCACUCGCAGUACACAAGGGUUCUGCUUUCUCUCUGUCCUCUCUGACACUCCCCCCUUUUGCUUCUCCUCCCCCUUUUAAUUUUAGCCACUCUAGGGGGUGUGCGCAGCAGCAUCUCAUUGCGCUUGAGCUCUACAUCUCCUUGGUGACCAAUG
ensembl:lncRNA